rnacentral:rRNA from 1 species
AUUGGGCGUGCGGCAGCUACACAUGCAGUCGUACCGAUGGAUACACCAACUUCGGUGGGGGAUUAGUGGCGAACGGGUGAGUAACACGUGGGCAAUCUGCCCUGCACUCUGGGACAAGCCCUGGAAACGGGGUCUAAUACCGGAUACGACCACUUCAGGCAUCUGAUGGUGGUGGAAAGCUCCGGCGGUGCAGGAUGAGCCCGCGGCCUAUCAGCUAGUUGGUGAGGUAACGGCUCACCAAGGCGACGACGGGUAGCCGGCCUGAGAGGGCGACCGGCCACACUGGGACUGAGACACGGCCCAGACUCCUACGGGAGGCAGCAGUGGGGAAUAUUGCACAAUGGGCGAAAGCCUGAUGCAGCGACGCCGCGUGAGGGAUGACGGCCUUCGGGUUGUAAACCUCUUUCAGCAGGGAAGAAGCGAAAGUGACGGUACCUGCAGAAGAAGCGCCGGCUAACUACGUGCCAGCAGCCGCGGUAAUACGUAGGGCGCAAGCGUUGUCCGGAAUUAUUGGGCGUAAAGAGCUCGUAGGCGGCCUGUCACGUCGGAUGUGAAAGCCCGGGGCUUAACCCCGGGUCUGCAUUCGAUACGGGCAGGCUAGAGUUCGGUAGGGGAGAUCGGAAUUCCUGGUGUAGCGGUGAAAUGCGCAGAUAUCAGGAGGAACACCGGUGGCGAAGGCGGAUCUAUGGGUCGAUAAUGAUGAUGCUGAGGAGCGAAAGCGUGGGGAGCGAACAGGAUUAGAUACCCUGGUAGUCCACGCCGUAAACGUUGGGAACUAGGUGUGGGCGACAUUCCACGUCGUCCGUGCCGCAGCUAACGCAUUAAGUUCCCCGCCUGGGGAGUACGGCCGCAAGGCUAAAACUCAAAGGAAUUGACGGGGGCCCGCACAAGCGGCGGAGCAUGUGGCUUAAUUCGACGCAACGCGAAGAACCUUACCAAGGCUUGACAUACACCGGAAACACCCAGAGAUGGGUGCCCCCUUGUGGUCGGUGUACAGGUGGUGCAUGGCUGUCGUCAGCUCGUGUCGUGAAAUGUUGGGUUAAGUCCCGCAACGAGGGCAACCUUUGUCCCGGGUUGCCAGCAGGCCCUUGUGGUGCUGGGGACUCACGGGAAAACCGCCCGGGGUCAAUUCUGAAGAAAGGUGGGGGACGAACUUCAAGUCAUCAAGGCCCCCUUAUGUUUUGGGGGUGGAACCAGGGU